rnacentral:lncRNA from 1 species
GGCGUAGCUUGCAUGUAUGCUCAGAUGCUCAAGCAUCCACAUCAUUUUGACAAAAAAAAUAAAUUUAAAAAUAAAAAUAUAGUAUAUAAUUGCAUAUGUUGUGUCUGAAUGUAAGGGUGAGGAUAUGUGAACAUCGUCCAAUCAUUUCCAAAGCAGUAUACGUGGUCUUUCCUUUAAGAUCAUUUAUAGUUUAUGUAAACAAGAUGGAUAAAUUGCAGAAAAGUGCUGUCAACUUUUUCGUAAAAAGUCUACGUCUUAACGCGUCGUCGGCAACGGCAAGCGCAGAGGAUAAUACGUAGACCUGCAAACAUGUUUGGUCUGAGAUUGAACCAAGCGGAGCGAUGACAAAGCAACGUUACUAGUUAACAACGAACGCAUCGUUUCCUGUGACAUUAAAUACGACUAGUAUUUAUUAUGGAGUGUGAUCAUUUCUGGGCUAAUAAAUACCCGUUUCAAACUUGAUACAAUAUUAAUUUUAUUUUCAAAAAAAAGAGUUCAAAAGUCCCCGUAGUG